CAUGUUUUCUCCAGAGCUUAUC
rnacentral:miRNA from 1 species